rnacentral:rRNA from 1 species
CCUACGGGUGGCAGCAGUGGGGAAUAUUGCACAAUGGGGGAAACCCUGAUGCAGCGACGCCGCGUGAGUGAAGAAGUAUUUCGGUAUGUAAAGCUCUAUCAGCAGGGCAGAAAUAGCGACCUUUGGGUCGCCAGACUGUACCUGAUUAAGAAGCCCCGGCUAACUACGUGCCAGCAGCCGCGGUAAUACGGAGGGGGCAAGCGUUAUCCGGAUUUACUGGGUGUAAAGGGAGCGUAGACGGCAGCGCAAGUCUGAAGUGAACUGCCGGGGCUUAACCCCGGAACUGCGUUGGAAACUGUGCAGCUAGAGUGCAGGAGAGGUAAGUGGAAUUCCUAGUGUAGCGGUGAAAUGCGUAGAUAUUAGGAGGAACACCAGUGGCGAAGGCGGCUUACUGGACUGUAACUGACGUUGAGGCUCGAAAGCGUGGGGAGCAAACAGGAUUAGAUACCCCGGUAGUC